UAGGGAAUCUUCGGCAAUGGGGGCAACCCUGACCGAGCAACGCCGCGUGAGUGAAGAAGGUUUUCGGAUCGUAAAGCUCUGUUGUAAGAGAAGAACGUGUGUGAGAGUGGAAAGUUCACACAGUGGCGGUAACUUACCAGAAAGGGACGGCUAACUACGUGCCAG
rnacentral:rRNA from 1 species